GAGUUUGAUCCUGGCUCAGGAUGAACGCUAGCGGAACGCCUAACACAUGCAAGUCGAACGGAUUCUGCGUUGUAGCAAUACAUAGUAGAAUUAGUGGCAAACGAGCGAGUAACGCGUGCCUAACCUGCCCUUAAGAUGGGAACAACUACGGAGACGUAGCUAAAUCCCAAUAUGCUCACGAUGGUGAAAUGCCGAUGCGAGGAAAGAUUUAUCGCUUAAGGAGGGGGGCGCGUCCUAUCAGGUAGUUGGUUGAGGUAACGGCUCACCAAGCCUAUGACAGGUAGCUGGUCUGAGAUGAUGUCCAGCCGCGAUGGGACUGAGAUACGGCCCAUACUCCUACGGGAGGCAGCAGUGGGGAAUCUUGCACAAUGGACGAAAGUCUGAUGCAGCGAUCCCGCGUGAAGGAUGAAGCAUUACGGUGUGUAAACUUCUUUUUUGGUGGAAGACGAAUGACGGUACACCAAGAAUAAGAGACGGCUAACUACGUGCCAGCAGCCGCGGUAAUACGUAGGUCUCAAGCGUUAUCCGGAUUUACUGGGCGUAAAGUAUCCGUAGCCUGAUAUGUAAGUCUGUUUUCAAAUCCCACGACUCAAUCGUGGAAAGGGAAUGGAUACUGCAUAUCUAGAAGUUAUUGGGGGUUAGUGGAAUUUCCGGUGGAGCGGUGAAAUGCGUUGAUAUCGGAAAGAACGCCGAAAGCGAAAGCAGCUAACUAUGAUUAACUUGACGGUGAGGGAUGAAAGUUUGGGUAGCAAACGGGAUUAGAUACCCCGGUAGUCCAAACUGUAAAUUAUGCUUGCUAGGUGUUUCGAUCCUUGUGGUCGGAGUGCCGUAAUCUAACGAGUUAAGCAAGUCGCCUGGAUAGUAUAUUCGCAAGAAUGAAACUCAAAGGGAUAGGCGGGGGAGC
rnacentral:rRNA from 1 species